rnacentral:tRNA from 1 species
UGGCUUUUAGUGUAAUGGUAACACAGUAGAUUUUGGUUCUACUAUUAUAAGUUCAAGUCUUAUAGAGCCAA